rnacentral:lncRNA from 1 species
CCCAAUCUAAGAUGCAAACACAUCAAAAGAAAAACAAAAUCACACCAUAUCUCCACAUGACACAAAACAAAAACCAACUGCAAUCAACAAAUAAGACGCAAAGAGUCACAAGAAAUUAAAAAAAAUCCAUUCGCGGGCAACUACCGACUUAUUAUACUGUAUGAUCGAACACAAACAUAGCCAAAAUAUGACACCAAAGAAAUAAGACGCAAACUAAAUUACAAGAAAUUACAAGAUCAAUAAAUGAUGUAUAAAAAAUAAUUCCGAGCGACAAUUGGUUAACACAAACAAAAGGAAUACAGUGGCGGAUGCAGCCAUUUUAAAAAAGGGGGGGGGGGGUUCCCAACCCAGAGUAAAGGGGGGUUCCAACUAUAUGCUCCCAUUCAAAUCCAUUGAUCGGCCAAAAAAAGGGGGUCCAA